CAGAUGGCCCAGGUCCCUUUGGAAAUACUAUGACAGAAUCAAGGAGAAUUACCAAAGCCCCAGGGCAGCACUGAGUGAAUACUGCUAUUCAUCCUAUGGCUAUGAAUGUGAACUAUUUUGGAUACUUCUUUCUGCUGGAUAUGGAAAAGACAGCAUUUGCCAGAUCAAUAGCUGCCUGCCACUUACCUUCAACUAUGUUAAGUUGCUCUGGGUAAUUCCCACCUCCAGCUCAGAAACUGCACGUGGGUUACUAACUGGUUAAGUUUGUCGUAGUUCACUGUCAUCUGCCACGACAGGGGACAGGCUAGUGUGUUAAAUGGACAUAUGAUCUGGACCAUCUCCUCUGCAUUGGUUUUUUGUUUGUUUUUGAGACAGGGUCUUACUCUGUUGCCCAGUCUGAAGUGCAGUGGCAUGAUCUUGGCUCAUUGUAACCUCUGCCUCCUGGGUUUAAGCGAUUCUCAUGCCUCAGUCUCCUGAGUAGCAAAGAUUACAGGUGCGCACCACCAUAUCCAGCUAAUUUUUGUAAUUUUAGUAGAGACAGGGUUUCACCAUAUUGGCCAGGAUGAUCUCAAACUCCUGACUUCAGGUGAUCUGCCUGCCUCUGCCUCCUAAAGUCCUGGAAUUGCAGGUGUGAGCCACCAUGCUCAGCCCCCUCUGCAUUUUUUGUUUUUGAGAUGACACUAAUCUCUGCCAUUCCCCUAGGAAGUGAUAAUGUUUUUGAUUUACCCUCUUGGCCCAGGGAUAGGGGCAGCUUCAGAGGCUUCCACUUGACCUUUUGUAUGACAGAAGCUCUUAAUCUACUGGCCAAGAAACUAUGACACAGACCUGGAGCCAAGAGCCAGAAAGGGACUUUCCCAAGGCUACUCCGUAGGCAGUAAGCGCAGGCCCGACAGCAAGAGAAGGAGCAGGCGAGGCUGGAAUAUUCCAGCUUGAAAACAGCAGCUGUAUAAUAAAGCCAGGCUGGUUUGUCUCAGGGCCCCGCUGUCCCUUCUCCCCGCCUCAAAGUAGCAGCAUGAAUCAGUUCACUGCGGCAAUGGUCCAGGCGAUGUGACUUGCAUCCCCAUCAGCUACCUGAUUGCGGUCCCUGGAUACACGAGGCGCUGGAUGUGCCUGGCAUACCAAACCGCCUGCCUCUGUGCCGCAGCUACUGGUAAUGAAGAUCGCCGGCCCCACCCCUCACUGCGGACAGAGCCGGGCAUUCUUCAAGGCCACCACUGGCCUUUUAUCUUGUCCAAGGCUCUGGGAUAGUCACCGAAAUCCUUGGGCUGCUUUUGACGGGGGCCACCAGCCCGUCUCAGAGAUGCCCUGACAAGCCCCUCCGGCCCUGGGCAGACAAAGGCUUGAAAGGAGAGGAAUUGCACACGGUCCAGACGCUGCUGUUUCUAAUAAGUUAUUUUGACACACAAUUAACUGCAAAAUUUGCUCUAAGCUAAGAGCUCGGGCCCUUGCAGGGUUCGUACAGCACAAUUCAAGCAGGAUUUGGUUCUGUGCAAACGUCACCCUUCCUGAAGGGCUAGGGAUUGCCAGCUCCCCACGGUGAUGCCACCCCUCUCAGGGGCGGCCGUGGGCACCGAUCAGAGAGGAUGCAUCAGCCCGCCCAGAGCCCAGCAUGGGGCCAGGGGAACCAUGGCACGAGUUGGCGGGGGGGUGGAUAAAGCUUACACAAAACCCUCCAACAGAGCUCCCUGAACAACAACUCUUCCUAAAAUGGUGUCGCUUAUCCUUUGCUGACAAAAGCCUGAUUUGAGCUCUCCCCGGAGGUGGGAUGAAGCGAACACAUUGCCUUUUAUCUCCCCGUCACUUUGAGAGGGGAGACAACUGGUACAGAGCGUGGAGGGGAGCCCUGAAGAAGGUACUCUUGAAUGAAAGGCAUAAUCUCCAGCUCCCCUAGACCAGGAGGGGAGGCGGCUUUCAUCCCCCACCACAGCUGGCUCCCCCUCACCCCCCACCCCAUCCUGGAGGCAUCUGAAUGGGAGUGGGGAGCUCCGAAGGAGAGGCUCCUGCCGCUGCACAAUGCCACACAAUAUUGCUUCUCCCCAGGAGCCCAGAGGAGGCCAUGGGCUUAUAGUGUCUUACUUUGAAACCAAUUCUCCAAUCAGCUAUUUAAAUAAGAAAUAUAAUCUAA